rnacentral:rRNA from 1 species
AGAGUUGAUCCUGGCUUAGGAUGAACGCUGGCGGCGUGCCUAACACAUGCAAGUCGAACGAAGCAUACGGACUGGAGAUUCGUCGAAGGACCGUAUGACUUAGUGGCGGACGGGUGAGUAAUGUAUGAGCAACCUGCCUUUCAGAGGGGGACAACAGUUGGAAACGACUGCUAAUACCGCGUAACGUAUCGUGAGGGCAUCCUCGUGAUACCAAAGGAGCAAUCCGCUGAAAGAUGGGCUCAUAUCUGAUUAGCUUGUUGGCGGGGUAACGGCCCACCAAGGCGACGAUCAGUAGCCGGACUGAGAGGUUGAACGGCCACAUUGGGACUGAGAUACGGCCCAGACUCCUACGGGAGGCAGCAGUGGGGAAUAUUGGGCAAUGGGCGAAAGCCUCGACCCAGCAACGCCGCGUGAAGGAAGAAGGUCUUCGGAUUGUAAACUUCUUUUAUGAGGGACGAAGGACGUGACGGUACCUCAUGAAUAAGCCACGGCUAACUACGUGCCAGCCGCAGC